GUAUGAACGAAGCAGAUGAGUGAUGGCAACUGAAAGGAUUCAUGAGGGCUCGCCGGUGACAUUGGGUUUCACCGAUAGAUUAGCGAGGAGAGAUCGUCUCCGGGGUUUGACGAGGCCGAAGGGGAGGAAAGGGGGAGGCAGCGAGGCUUCCCUCUUUUCGUCCGGUUGUGGGGUGCGAAGGGGAAAAGGGAACCGGUAACUGGAGUGAUGCGAGCAGCAGCAGCGACGAGUCGAGACCCUCGGAGGUCUUUGUUCGAUAGGAACAUAAGAGAAAGGGAAGCGAGGGCAAAGGAGGUUCCCAGUCUUUGGCCGGUUGUGCAGGGGAAACGAAGGCAGAAAAAUGGGAGGCUUCGGGGAUGUUUGCGAUCGGUGGUGUGUUUGGCAGUGGAGGUCGACGGGAAGAAGGGCAGGUAUUCGGUGUUGGGUUUGCUUGAUAAUCACAGGUGGGUGUUUUGUUGCUUCAAAUUGACAGGGAGAAAAUGAAGCAAAAAAAAAAUGUGUUGUUCUUCUUGUUUGCAGUCUACACGAAAUCAAGAACACGAGUGAUCUUGUGUUCUUGGCUGGAAUCGAUGCAGAAAGAAAAGAAUAUGGAGGUGUUUGGGUUUGUUGUUUUCACAGGGAAUGAAACACGAACAGAAGAAGAUUUAGAGUGUUUGAGUGGGUUUAGGUACCCAUACCAGUCACUAUAAAGUUUUCUGUAAUCUGAAUAUUCGUAAGAAUGAUGAUUGUUAAGAAAAAAUAUUAAAAUGAUUGAAUAUUGAA